rnacentral:rRNA from 1 species
GUUAAGUGACGAAGCGUAUACGGUGGAUGCCUUGGCAGUUAGAGGCGAUGAAGGACGUGUAAGUCUGCGAAAAGCUGUGGUGAGCCGACAAAAUGCAUUUGAGCCACAGAUGUCCGAAUGGGGAAACCCACCUAUUUAUAGGUAUCGUUAACUGAAUACAUAGGUUAACGAGGCAAACGAGGGGAACUGAAACAUCUAAGUACCCUUAGGAAAAGAAAUCAACCGAGAU